rnacentral:rRNA from 1 species
CGGCGACCGGCGCACGGGUGAGUAACACGUAUGCGACCUGCCCGUAGCAGGGGGAUAAGCGGAAGAAAUUCCGUCUAAUACCGCGUAAUAUCUUUCGGGGGCAUCCCUGAGGGAUUAAAGGAAGUGAUUCCGGCUACGGAUGGGCAUGCGGCGCAUUAGCUAGUCGGCGGGGUAACGGCCCACCGUGCCGACGAUGCGUAGGGGUUCUGAGAGGAAGGCCCCCCACACUGGUACUGAGACACGGACCAGACUCCUACGGGAGGCAGCAG